UACGGGGGGAGCAAGCGUUGUUCGGAUUUACUGGGCGUAAAGAGCUCGUAGGCGGCUUGUCACGUCGAUUGUGAAAGCCCGCGGCUCAACUGCGGGUCUGCAGUCGAUACGGGCAGGCUAGAGUUCGGUAGGGGAGACUGGAAUUCCUGGUGUAGCGGUGAAAUGCGCAGAUAUCAGGAGGAACACCGGUGGCGAAGGCGGGUCUCUGGGCCGAUACUGACGCUGAGGAGCGAAAGCGUGGGGAGCGAACAGG
rnacentral:rRNA from 1 species